GGUGUGAGUUGUGUGUGUGUGUGUGUGUGUGUGUGUGUGGAUCUUGUUAAAUCUCUCGCUCACUCACACACACACACACUCUG
rnacentral:miRNA from 1 species